rnacentral:misc_RNA from 1 species
GUUAUUUCUCAAAAGCAAGAGCAGCAUUAAAGUCUUUUCAAGGAAAAAAAAAAGUGAUUGAAGUAAAUUAUAUACACAGAAAAAGAAAAUAUACAAAAUAUGUUUAAAGAGGAUCAUAAUAUUUUUUUUUCUUUCUUUCUAAUCUUUAGCUGCAACAACAUUCUUUUGGUUCUUUAGUUUCUGUAUCCCCCUUUUCUGGUGUGGUCCUUGAGAAAACAUACAAAAAAUAAUGAUUUAUCAACUUUGGCGUUUUAUUCAGCAAUUGCACCAUUCUUGUGCUUCACAUUCAAACACUGGAAUUAUUGCACUUCCAAGCAACCACGCCGCGGCUGCUAGCACUCAAAGAUGAGUCAUUCACAAGCAAUUUUAGUGUCAAAGCUGCUAAGGCAUAUGGCGAAUGCCUGGAAUGCUGAUAGUGGGUAGCGGUAAUCCAUUGUAAACAUGUCCUUCCCUACUUUACCGAAUUGCAAAAUAACCUUCUCAUGUUCUGGUCCAGCCGCACCAUUCUCUGGAGAAGCUACCAACUGAAAGUUCUUCACCGAGGCGACGGUUACCCGACCAUGAAAGUUCAAACACCAGCAUUGGAGCUGUUCAUGCCAUCUGGGAGCCUUAUUUUUCAGAACCAGUGAACCUUCUCUUUGAGUUUCUAUAGGCCCAGACAAAGACUUCUCCAAGCGACUUGAUUUGGAUCGAAGAAAUCGCAUCGGAAGAGAGGAACCACUAUUGCCCAUUGGAAAAUCAACCUGUGUGGGAGCUAUACCUCCAGGUUUAAUGGCAGAAGCUGGGAUAGCAUCCAUCACACAAUGCAUUCUUCUUGGCCCCCUGGCUCCAAGUACAUUCAACUCAUAUGAAAUAUGAGCAACUUCAUAAUUUCCAGCAGGCACUCUAGAAUUCAUUUGUUUUGAGCCCACAAGCCUAGUGGAACGGCUCUUCACCAGCUUGGCUCCAGCAUAAGGAAGAAUAGAAUCAUAUGCAGUAAACUUGGUUCCAAGGAAAUUUGAUCUUAAUCUCCCGAUACAAGUGCCACCUCCCUUUGACGUUUCAUUUGCAUCCAAUGAUAUAGUGUAGUCAGUGCAGGUGGCCUUCCUGUACUUCCGAGCAGCAAGAAGAAACUUCCCAUCAUCAGCUAAUGCUUGAGUCAAACUGAGGUAUAGAUGAUAUGCCUGUGUUGUCUGGUUUCUCUUUAUAAAGCACUGAAGGAGUGUGUCUCGUGGACCAGGCUGCUUGACAGAAAUUGGAAAAGUUAACUUUCCAGAAACUUCAGGAGUCUUCACCAACUCCUUCAUAAUCUCCCUCCAGCUCCUACACACUCCAGAACAAGCUACAACACUUCUCCUCAAAGGCCAUUUAGAUUCUGUAUCUUCAAUCCUCAUAAGAACCUCUCUUAAUAACUCUAAAGGCAAAUUAGCCCAACAGCUCUCCACAAACACUUCAUCAAUCCCCUCUGUUUCCUCUGCCACAGCCACCACUGAACUCUGGCGACACCUUGACUUUGACCCAUAACCCCACUUCAUCUCACAACCCAAAAAAAAUAGCUAAAAAUUGAUUUCUCAAAACAAUGCUUAUAAACUCAACCAAAACACUCCCACCUCACAGAAAUUUCAUAAACAUCAAACCUACAACCAAAAAUGCACCUUAAAUCCAGAUCUGAAAUCUAUAAUCCCCCUAAAACACCAUAAAGAUUGAAUCUUUAACAUUCUUUCAUGCCUAAACUCAACACCCAAUGCAUCAAAACCAAAUUUUAAAACAAAAAACCAUAUGGGGUUUGAAAAUUAAUCUGAAAA